rnacentral:rRNA from 1 species
AUUGAACGCUGGCGGCAGGCCUAACACAUGCAAGUCGAGCGGUAACACAGGGAGCUUGCUCCUGGGUGACGAGCGGCGGACGGGUGAGUAAUGUCUGGGAAACUGCCUGAUGGAGGGGGAUAACUACUGGAAACGGUAGCUAAUACCGCAUAACGUCGCAAGACCAAAGAGGGGGACCUUCGGGCCUCUUGCCAUCAGAUGUGCCCAGAUGGGAUUAGCUAGGAGGUGGGGUAACGGCUCACCUAGGCGACGAUCCCUAGCUGGUCUGAGAAGAUGACCAGCCACACUGGAACUGAGACACGGUCCAGACUCCUACGGGAGGCAGCAGUGGGGAAUAUUGCACAAUGGGCGCAAGCCUGAUGCAGCCAUGCCGCGUGUACGAAGAAGGCCUUCGGGUUGUAAAGUACUUUCAGCGGGGAGGAAGGCGAUAAGGUUAAUAACCUUGUCGAUUGACGUUACCCGCAGAAGAAGCACCGGCUAACUCCGUGCCAGCCGCCGCCGUAA